UACGUAGGGGGCUAGCGUUGUCCGGAAUCAUUGGGCGUAAAGGGCGCGUAGGUGGCGGGUCAAGCGUGCGGUGAAAGCUCGGGGCUCAACCCCGAGUCGGCCGUGCGAACUGGCCUGCUUGAGCACUGUAGAGGCAGAUGGAAUUCCGGGUGUAGCGGUGGAAUGCGUAGAGAUCCGGAAGAACACCGGUGGCGAAGGCGGUCUGCUGGGCAGUUGCUGACACUGAGGCGCGACAGCGUGGGGAGCAAACAGG
rnacentral:rRNA from 1 species